rnacentral:lncRNA from 1 species
GGAAUAUACAACUUCUAUUAGGGUUUCGCUACUUUUUUCAAUCUCUGUAAGGGAGCAUUGAGAUACACUGUUUACAAAACUGUCUCUCUCUCUACCAUUCAUUCUGCUGUGGCUUUUAUACACAAAAAUCACCAUAUCAAAAGAAUAUACAAGGAGCAUUGAGAAGCCGCCUCUGCAAGUCAAGGUAAGUAUUCAUCCAUACAAUCUCUUAGCUUUUGGAGGGUAACUGGUUUUGACACAAACGAGUCCAUCCCAUUUGCAUAGCAUUCCUCUGCACUCUCUGAUAGUGCAUUUGCUGUCAUCUGCAAACAACCAACUCCCUUGUUAGAAGAACACCCACCUAACUAGUUUUCUUUAAGAAAGGGGUUGUAUUUUCCUACAGAAGGUCUGGCAUCUAGAAUCAUGUUUAUUAAAAAAGUUGAAUUGAGACUUGUUUGAACAGUAAGAUUCAUUAUUCUUAGGAAAGUUGAGUUAAAAUUAGUGAAAAAAGUUAUGUUGAGAUUGGAAGGGGUUAUGAAAGGAACGUUAAAUUAGGGAUAUAAAGGAUUUUUAAAAAAGUAUAUUUUCCUUCAAUAGAUUAGGAAACACAAUCUCUUGAUCUAAAUUUCUUUCCACAAUCUCUCCCAAUUUUAAUUCAACUUUCUUAUACUUAUCUUAACUCAACUUACUUAGAAAUUAUAAUUUUUAUUGGCAAACCAAGUCUGAGAUUAGUUGAAGAAAGUUCAGUUGAGGUUAGUAGGAUUGUGGAAGGAAGUUGAAUUAAGUUAUAUAAAGAAUUUUUAAGAAAGUUUAAGUUUUAUUUAAGUAGAACGGGAAACAUAAUUCCACUUAAAUUCUCUUAUAUCACUUUAUUUAACUUUCGUGUCACAACCUCUUUCAGACUCAACUCAACUUUCUUCGACGAACAUCAAUUAAACUUUCUUAGGAAAACAUUAUUCUAGAUAUCAACCCUUACCCUAACUUACCGCGACUAUGGGGAUACGAUCUCUGGAACUGGGAUGGAAGCUAUGCCCAUUUUGUAAGCAAGUGGCUGAUUGCUCAAUUCCAGCUUGGACAGCUGCAUCCCACCUUCCUGUUUCCUCGUAGGAACGGAUUAUCCUUGUAGCUUGAAGGCCAUCCAUAACUGGCAUAUAUACAUCCUGCAAAAUUUCCCCAUUUCUUUGUUUAGUUUUAGAGUGUCUGAAUGGAAGUUGCUUCUUUGUGAGGCUUCAGUUUUUUUAGACCCUAGAAGAAUUUACCAUUAGAACGAGAUCAUAGUGUUCCCGUUGUAUUGCCUUCACUGCUUCGACUCCAUUGUUCACCACAAUUAUGUCGUGCCCUAACUGCUUCAUCAUGGAUCGAGCUACCAUCACAUUGAUCUUAUUGUCUUCAACUAGCAGGAUCUGUGGCUUUGGCUUUGCUUCUGUGUUACCAUUUGACAGACAUGAUCCUUGAGAACCGCUUGUGCUCACUCCGGAAUUCGUUCUUCUGAUAGACUCUGAGCAGUUACUGCUUGCUUACACUAGAUGUGUGUCCAUUAUCAGCUAUCCGACACUGACCGAAUGAACUUUCAGGUUCGGAUGCUUUCUCUGCAACUUCAACCACAGAAGAACAGACAUCCCCAACAGAAGUUGGCUCUUUACAUCUGGAUGGG